rnacentral:rRNA from 1 species
UGAGGAAUAUUGGUCAAUGGGCGCAAGCCUGAACCAGCCAUGCCGCGUGCAGGAUGACGGCUCUAUGAGUUGUAAACUGCUUUUAUGAGGGAGUAAUGUUAUCUACGUGUAGAUAAUUGCAAGUACCUCAGGAAUAAGGAUCGGCUAACUCCGUGCCAGCAGCCGCGGUAAUACGGAGGAUCCGAGCGUUAUCCGGAUUUAUUGGGUUUAAAGGGUGCGUAGGCGGAAUUUUAAGUUAGUCGUUAAAUCUCGGGGCUCAACCCCGUAGUUGCGAUUAAUACUGGGAUUCUAGAGAUUAGAUGCAGAGGGCGGAAUGUGUAGUGUAGCGGUGAAAUGCUUAGAUAUUACACAGAACACCGAUUGCGAAGGCAGCUCUCUAAUCUAUAUCUGACGCUGAGGCACGAAAGCGUGGGUAUCAAACA